rnacentral:lncRNA from 1 species
CUACUUCGGAGGUCUGAGACCUCUGACUUUGUAUUUUUCUUACUGUGAUUUUUCUUUUCCCUUUUGUCUUUAAGAAACAUUCAAUCAAUAAAAUUGGGUUUCUCCUUAUGGGGGGUUUCUCUACUCUUUUCUUUUUUCUUUCUGUAAUGAGUCACACCUUGACGCUUUUGUCCCCCGAUGGCAGCGUCCUGUCGAAGCGCUUCCCUUGCCACAGGGAGAUCCACUGAAGUCCAUGAUCCAACAUCUAAGGAAGAGAGUUCGUCAUUUAACAAAAAGGUCGAAGGAGA